CCACAGCCACCGCAGUCUCUGCCGCUACUGCAGCCACGCAGCCCCCGCAUCAGCCCUCGCAACUCCCCGCAACCCCCACAGCCUCGCAGCCCCUCAGCGGCGCAGCCACCGCAGCCCCUACACAGACACAGCCUCCACCGCCACCGUAGAAGAUCCGUCGCUGUCGGAUUCCGAGCUUCUUUUCGUUCCAGAUCAGCGCUUUCUUUGUCAGAUUCCCUUCGCGCAGCUGGAUUCCAGCUGCACAGAUUUCAUUAUCAUCAAUCUGAAAAACUGAAAAACUGUGGAGUGUGCUUUGGAAGAUAUCAGAAAAGACCGAAUCAAUGGGGGUUGAGGUAAAAGGUCCCGACCCCAAACGCGGUUACUUCUAUGAGAUGAUGUGAUUUUUCUUCGUUUACUCUAUUUUUUUAAUCCAAGUCAAGCAAGAUCAUACCAGCAAACGCGUUUUCAACUUUUUCCUUUCUUGAAAUGAACGAAUUCAUCGUUUUGCUGAAUGUGGACUCACAUCCUUGUUGAUCUCGAAUUCCCUCUCUCAACUUCAUCCCUAAUCUCUUCCAUGCUUGGUUCAAUGGCCCAACAAAUCCCCAAUCCUACUG